rnacentral:rRNA from 3 species
CGCGAAUAGCUCAUUACAACAGCCGUUGUUUCUUGGAUCUCCGCUUUUACUUGGAUAACUGUGGCAAUUCUAGAGCUAAUACAUGCAAUCGAGCUCCGACUUAACAGGACGAGCGCAUUUAUUAGACCAAAACCAAUCGGCGCAAGCCGUUUUCUGGUGAAUCUGAAUAACUACGCAGAUCGCUUCGGUUUCACACCGGCGACAUAUCCUUCAAGUGUCUGCUUUAUCAACUUUCGUUGGUAGUUUAUACGCCUACCAAGGUUUUAACGGAUAACGGAGAAUCAGGGUUCGACUCCGGAGAGGGAGCCUGAGAAACGGCUACCACUUCCAAGGAAGGCAGCAGGC